rnacentral:rRNA from 1 species
UACGUAGGUGGCAAGCGUUGUCCGGAUUUACUGGGCGUAAAGGGCGUGCAGGCGGUCUGUUAAGUCUAGGGUGAAAGCUCCCGGCUCAACUGGGAGAGGUCCUUGGAUACUGGCGGACUUGAGGGAGGCAGAGGAAAGUGGAAUUCUCGGUGUAGAGGUGAAAUUCGUAGAUAUCGAGAGGAACACCGGUGGCGAAGGCGGCCAACUGGACGAAGACUGACGCUGAGACACGAAAGCGUGGGGAGCAAACAGG